CCUACGGGAGGCAGCAGUGGGGAAUAUUGCACAAUGGGCGGAAGCCUGAUGCAGCGACGCCGCGUGAGGGAUGACGGCCUUCGGGUUGUAAACCUCUUUCAGUAGGGAAGAAGCGUAAGUGACGGUACCUGCAGAAGAAGCGCCGGCUAACUACGUGCCAGCAGCCGCGGUAAUACGUAGGGCGCAAGCGUUAUCCGGAAUUAUUGGGCGUAAAGAGCUCGUAGGCGGUUUGUCGCGUCUGCCGUGAAAGUCCGGGGCUCAACUCCGGAUCUGCGGUGGGUACGGGCAGACUAGAGUGAUGUAGGGGAGACUGGAAUUCCUGGUGUAGCGGUGAAAUGCGCAGAUAUCAGGAGGAACACCGAUGGCGAAGGCAGGUCUCUGGGCAUUAACUGACGCUGAGGAGCGAAAGCAUGGGGAGCGAACAGGAUUAGAUACCCUGGUAGUCCAUGCCGUAAACGUUGGGCACUAGGUGUGGGGGACAUUCCACGUUUUCCGCGCCGUAGCUAACGCAUUAAGUGCCCCGCCUGGGGNGUACGGCCGCAAGGCUAAAACUCAAAGGAAUUGACGG
rnacentral:rRNA from 1 species